rnacentral:rRNA from 1 species
UACGUAGGGGGCUAGCGUUGUCCGGAAUCAUUGGGCGUAAAGCGCGCGUAGGCGGCCCGGUAAGUCCGCUGUGAAAGUCAAAGGCUCAACCUUUGAAUGUCAGCGGAUACUGCCAGGCUAGAGUCCGGAAGAGGCGAGUGGAACUCCUGGUGUAGCGGUGGAAUGCGCAGAUAUCAUUUGGAACGCCAAUGGUGAAAACAGCUUGCUGGGGGUUUGCUGACGCUGAGACACGAAAGCCAGGGGAGCGAACGGG